AUUGAACGCUGGCGGCAGGCCUAACACAUGCAAGUCGAGCGAGCGGCGGACGGGUGAGUAAUGGAUGGGGAUCUGCCCGAUCGAGGGGGAUAACUACUGGAAACGGUGGCUAAUACCGCAUACUAUCGGAUGACCCAUGUGGGAUUAGCUAGUCGGUGGGGUAAAGGCUCACCUAGGCGACGAGCCCUAGCUGGUCUGAGAGGAUGAUCAGCCACACUGGGACUGAGACACGGCCCAGACUCCUACGUGAGGCAGCAGUGGGGAAUAUUGGACAAUGGGCGAAAGCCUGAUGCAGCCAUGCCGCGUGUAUGAAGAAGGCUUUAGGGUUGUAAAGCACUUUCAGCGGGGAGGCGUUACCUGAAGAAGAAGCACCGGCUAACUACGUGCCAGCAGCCGCGGUAAUUC
rnacentral:rRNA from 1 species